CGAGAUAUUCUCAUCUCUGAGCCUGUCGAAGUAGCUAAUGAACUGGGCAACUAUUUCAGCCAGGAAUGAGAAGAGCCAUGAAGUUAAAGGUGACUUAUAUACAACCAGAUGUGGCCAUACAGUAAAUGGAAGCCAUGGGAAACAGAGUAAUAAAUACCAACAACUGACUGCUGAAAAAUAAGCUGGCAUCUGAGAGUGUCAUGAAGCUGGUAAAAAAUAUUGAGGGUUCUCUCCAAGAAAUUUUGUGCAAGUUAAUGCUUGACACAUACUGAAACUGUGUCACAAUUGGCUUUUGUAAAAGUUUGUCCAUUAGCGUGUCUCCAUGAUUUUGCAGGUCUUUGUAAUAAAUAGUAAUGAACAAAGAGUGGAUUGCUGUAAUACUCUGGUUCCCACCUCCAGGUUGCAUGGGGAGAGAAGAAAUAUACUAUUUUUACUAUGAAUAAUUAUGGGGAGAACAGGUCCAUAAACAAUGUUUAAAUCAAAUUAAAUCUAGAUGUUUAAUGUUUGGAACAGUAUAGAGCUUGAUGAGACUAAGUGAAAAAAGUAAAAAAUAGAAACAUUAUAUAAAGUUAAGGAGAAGGAGAUACAGUUAGGAGUACCAUCAUUAAUUUGAAUACAAAAGCAGGAUGAAAAAUUCACAUUUAAGUUUUUUACUUUUUAUUAUCAUGUGAAAAUAUAAUAAAGCUAAGACUCCAUGGAACCACAUAAUAAAUAACCAAUUACCAGA
rnacentral:misc_RNA from 1 species